rnacentral:tRNA from 1 species
GGAGUGUAGCUCAGGGGUAGAGCAUCUGCCUUGCGUGCAGGAGGCCCUGGGUUUGAUUCCCCCACACUACA